CUUAUCGUUCCCUUCACACUUGAGUCACCUACCAGAAUAGAAAUGGAAGCGAGUUUAGAAAAUGCAACAUUAGAUGAAAGUGAAGUAGGUGCUUCAUGGGAAGUGAUCGAAGAGGAUGCUGUUCAUUCAGAAGCAGAAGAUGGGUUGAAUGAAUCUAUGGAUGGGUCUACUGCCAAUGCUUCUCAUUCUCAAAGCAAUUUAUCUUCACAUUCAAAGUCAAAGGAGCCAAAAAUUUGGUAUGAGCAGCAGGUGUUGACCUACUUCGAAUUUCCCAAAACUCUAAAGGAAAAAAAAGAGAAGAAAUCCCAGAAAACAAAAAUAUACAAAGAAAAUGUUUAAAGUGUGGCAAGAAGUGUUCUGGCCGACUAUUCUCAACAAGCAACUGGCAACGGCACCUUAAAACACACCCACUUGUAUACCAGGAGUACAUUCAAAAGUUGAAAGAUGCUCGAAAAGUUAAACACAUGGAAUUGAAUUCAAAGUCAUCAUCCAGCAAUGAAGCUCUCAGAGAAAAAAGAUCAAAACUUCACCAAGCAAAACUGAAUUAUGCCGUGGUUCAACCUAUUUCAAAAAAGGAGCAGAGUGCUGUUGAUCAGCUAAUUUUGAACUACAUUAUCAAUGAGGCAAGGCCACUUGAAACAGUAGAAUCUCUCUCAUUUCGAGCAAUGGUUAACGGCUUGAACCCCCGAGCGAAUGUCUUGUGUGUUAAAAAGCUAAGGAAACUCAUCGAAAGUGAAAGGGAGGCCAGUCAUGGAAAACUACUCCAGACUCUAGCCACAGUGAAACAUGUUUGUCUCGCAGUUGACAUGUGGAGUACUCUUAAGCGUAGUUUCAUGGGGGUGACUUGUCACUGAAUUGAAGAAGAAACCUACAAGCGGAGAUCAGCUGCUCUUGCAUGCAAGAGGUUCAAAGGGCGACAAACAUUCGAUGCGAUUGCCAAGAUGAUUCAAGAGGUGAUGAAAAACUUCAAUCUUACGGAUAAAGUAAAAUUUAUCGUGACCGACAACGGUGCGAACAUUUGCAAGGCCGUGAAAACUUAACAAGAAGAAAAAAAAAGUCAGAACAACAAAAAAUGUUGAAUACUUCUUUAGUAAAAGAAUCAGAUGGAGAGGUUAACAUUAUUAGUGACGAAGAAUCUGACAGUGAAAAUCUUGAUUUUGUUACAUCGAACUGGAAAUAGAAAAUAAUGGAAUCAUAUCAAUUGGUGAUAUGUUGGAUCAUCUUAUUGUUGAAUGCGUUGAUGAUGGCGGUAAUACUACCCUUUAUAACUCGGCCCAUCUCCCAGAACACAUCCGCUGCGCCUCCCAUCUUUUAAAUUUACUGGCGUCGGCCGAUUUCGAUAAGGUUUUACUUUUUACCAAUCGUAUAUUUCAAGAGAAGUACAACCGCGCCAUUGGUAAGUUAACAAAGUUGUGGAAUAGAUACAACCGAAGUAGUUUAGCAUCUGAUAAAGUUCAUUCAAUUUUCGGUAAAAGCUAUUUGAAAUGUUUUGAAUUGACUUAUCUAACACAUUUUCUUUUACAUUUAAGGUUGUCAGAUAAAAACACCUUGUGAAACGAGAUGGAAUUCCAAAUUUGAUGCAGUAGAGGACGUUCUAUCAAAGGAUCAAGAUAAGCUAGAUGAAGUAAUGUGAAGCCUCCAAUUAGAGAUCCUGGAUGACACAGACCGAAUUCUAUUAAAAGAAUUCCUAUUGGUCAUGAAGCCAAUUGCCGUCUACCUCGACAUUCUACAAGGAGAAAAGAAUAAUUUCCUCGGCUGCGUUCUGCCUUGUGUUUUAAAAAUCAAGCAGGAAAUUCAAACUAUUACUAGCCAAAACAUGCAACCUAAUGGUUUUGGGGCUUUCAUCCGGAGAGGAAUUCUGGCUCAUAUCGAAAACAGAUUUGGCACUUGGUUUCAAGACGAAAAGUUCAUGAUUGCCACUAGUUUCCAUCCUAAGUUCAAACUAGACUGGAUAACAGAUGAAAUAGAAAUGAGAUCUCACAGGAAGUUAGUAGCUCGUAAGAUUGCGCUUCUUCAAGAAAAGGAAAUCAGCGAUGAAAUGUCAGCAUCUAUUCGUGAUCAUGACCCUCUAUAUUUCCCUUCUAAGAAUACCGCCACCCUUGAUGAACUUGAGUUGUUUUUCAUUGAUAAAGAAAAAGAUUUGGCUAUAUGCUUGACAAAUAUCCAAAAGUUAAACGCUUUUUAUUAGAGUAUAAUACAGCACUACCAUCAAGUGCGUCUGUCGAGAGGUUGUUCAGUGCAGGGCCACUUGUCCUCACCGCCCGACGCAACCGUCUUGCAGAUAGAAUUUUUGAGACCUUGUUGCUGCUUAAGGUUAAUUUUAGUAACGAAAACUAAACUUCCGAUUCACUUUUCGUAAUAUUGAAUAACUUAUGCCCCAGCUGUCUGUUAUAACCAAGAUUGAAUGUUAGCGCUGCUGCCACCUUACACGUUUUAAUAAACUAGACCAUUACAACUUA